UGGUGAUGGCAAAUAUCUGGGAUAUGGAUGCAACAAGGACAUUCUUUAAGCCGAUUGCAUUGCGUUGUGCUGUAUGAACGGGAGCAGUCCAUCAUAGUAAUGGAAACAGAUGCCAUUGUUGCAGAAUAGAAUUGGAAGUUCAACCUACCAAAUGCAAGAGGACUCUGGAAAUGACCAACUACGAUCCCGGCAAGUGUGUUCGCCUUCUUAACUCCAAACCCUGCAGUCUAUCCCCGCAGUUUAUUCAAUAGGAGUAGAGCAAACAAGAGCUUCUAGGUUCCUAGCUUGCCAAAACUUGUCAAAUGGACACACAUGGUGUACCAAACAAAAAGCUACCGCCAAAGGCUAGCGUGCCCAACCCUCUUGGAAGAUAAAUUGGCACUUACUACGAAUGCUUCUGUGAAGUAAUCACACACAUGUACACAGAGAGUGUUGAAAUGGCUGAUAAAAUGGUUGAUCAGAUCAGGGCAAUGGGCUUGAACAAUAAAAUAGAAUGGUAUCCUGUGAUUUCGCGUGAAUGGCUAGGAAUGUUGUGAUAGUCGAGUCGAGAUAUCACAUGAUAUAUACUGUUACAUAUUCUUUUAGCUUUGGAGUUCUGGUGGAAACAUAUGGUCCCGAUUUGGGAUUGGCGAUGGAACUUAGCAUCUAUGUUGGGCAUGUGAUUCACCACUCCAAAUGGAUUUCAGCAUUUUUUCUCUUUCUUUUCGACAUUGGUCGAGUUACCUGGUACUUCGUCUAGAUAACGGUAAAACCUUGGAGAUACAACCUUACUACUUGUUUCAAUUUGCACAUACAUUGCCGCAUUGUUGGAAGUAACUGCAAAUUGUUUGAUUCUUGAUGUCUGGAUUGAAAUGUAAUCUCACCUACCUUGAGGAGAAAAGAAGUAUAGCCCAUCCCUGGAGAUUGGUUCGUUUAGUUAAUAAAACUCAUGCAUGGACUACUUAAAUUAUAUCAUUACACAUCGAGACUAAUAUUGUGAAGCAAAGAUGAAUAUUUGCGGCAUGGUCGAAACAUGAUAUUCUUACUCUUGAUGAGUAGGGAGAUAUCUUGUGGCUCUUGAUAUAUAAUCACUUGUUCAUAGUCAGCGAAGCAUGGCAAAGUUGCAAUUCUGGAUGGUCAAAUCCAACUGACGGAGAAGGAUGAGUUUGUUUACCAAGAGAUGCUCACGCAUCUUCCCCUCUGCUCAAUCCCAAACCUGAAGAAGUGCUGCUUGUUGGUGGCGGAGAUGGAGGCAUUCUGAGGGAAAUAUGUCGUCACUCGUCCGUGGAACUAAUCGAUGUGUGUGAACUCGACCAAAUGGUGAUUGAUGUUUACAAGCAAUUCUUCCCUGAAAUAGCAGUUGCGUACGAGGAUCCGCGAGUGAACAUCUACAUUAAAGAUG